rnacentral:misc_RNA from 1 species
UAAUAAAAGUGUUUUAUGGCACUUUUCAAACAAAUCCAUAUCCACCUUGUGUGCAAUGUCUUUUUUUUUAAAUAAACACUUUAUUUUUUAAUUGCCAAUUUAUCUGAAGAUCAGUAUUAUUAUGAAUUAACUUAAUUCAAAAUA